GCCCCUGUGGCUCAGCGGUACUUUGCGUAAGCAAAGGUUUACGCGUAGCGCAAAAGAGCGUUGCAUUGGUAAUGCAGAGAUCCCGAGACUCUUAAUUGAGCGGAAAUUCAAAUCUCGGCAGGGGCU
rnacentral:tRNA from 1 species